rnacentral:lncRNA from 1 species
GCCUUAAGUGAUAGUCCAGGCAUCUCCCAAGUAGAACUCCAGGACAAAUUGAAAAGGUGCUUUGUAGUGAGAGAGGGAGAGCUCUAUAAAAUGGUCUUGAAAGAAACAUAGAUGAAUGCAUAGAAGUACAGCUUUAUUAUGGAUCCCCAAAAGUUUUUGCUCAUCAUGAAAUGAAGAAUCUUUGUUUCAAGAUAUCAGCUUUAGAACUUUGUAUCGAUUCAAUGACACACGUUAGAUACUUAGUAUGUGAUAGGCACACUGUUAAGAAUUGGUGAUACAAGAUAAAUAAAUGCUCUGAAAGCUAAUGUACUGGGAAGAAUCUAGUGCAAAACUUCCUACCCAGGGUACUAGGAAGGAUAUAACACCUGUAUCUGUAAAUGCUUCAAGAUAUUGAUCUCUUCAGUCUUUGGGACAACUAGGAGGAAACUGGAGUAGCCAGAAUCUAUAUCUGUUUCCAGCCACAAGCACACCUUCUCGUUGACAUCAAUGUGCAAUGCAAACAUCUCAUGCUGUGGAUGCGGUUAAGAAGCACUGGCAGAGAAUUAUGUUGCCAUUGCGCAAGUCCAGAUGAGCUGAAUGAGGCUGCAGCUGUGGUGAUGGCAAAGCACACAUGGACUUGGGAGCUACUUAUGAGGCAGAAUCAACAGAUGUUGCUAAUUGAGUUCUUGUGGGAGGUAAGGAUGAAGGAGAGGACAAUGGAUUCAGCACGAGAGGUAUUUAGAAGGAGGGGUUUCUACAAUAUGCCAUCCAUCAGGGAGGAGUAGAGAAAAGUUUGGAGAAUUUAAAAUGGUUGAACCUGGUUCCUGGGGGAGAGAUUUUAUAGCCCAGAACUGGUGAGAAGUUCUGAAUUGCAAUCAUUUGUUUUCUUUAAACUUUUCCCUUGAACCUCCCUAAAAUAUGAACUGACAUAGUCUUAGCAAUAUCUCAGAAGGGGACAUCAGAAUUGGAAGUUUUUGUUUGUUUGUUUGUUUUUUGGGUUUCUUUUUUUUUUUUUUUUUUUUUAAGACAGAGACUUGCUCUGUUGCCCAGGCUGGAGUGCAGUGGCGCAAUCUCGGCUCACUGUAAGCUCCACCUCCUAGGUUCACACUAUUAUCCUGCCUCAGCCUCCCGAGUAGCUGGGACUACAGGCGCCCGCCACCAUGCCCAAAUUUUUGUAGUUUUAGUAGAGACGGGGUUUCACCAUGUUAGCCAGGAUGGUCUCGAUCUUCUGACCUCGUGAUCCGCCCGCCUUGUCCUGCCAAAGUGCUGGCAUUACAGGCAUGAGCCACCGUGCCCUGCCAGAAUUGGGUUUUUUAUAGGACUUUCAGGUCGAAGCUCAAGUUGUUUAAGGUGAGGGUGGGGCUUUCAAAGUGAGGAACUGAUUGGGAUUCAGCAGAGUCUGUGACAUAAUAGUUUAAGAUUGGUGGGUCCAGCAAGGCAAGGGUCUUAAGACCAAACUUGAUAUGUAAACCGUGAUAAGCAAGAAUUUGCCCAGAUGAGCAGAUUGUUGUCUCCAAUUAGUUGAUAUGUAGGAAUUCCCUGAAACAAAUAGAAAAGUUAUUUAUUGGUUAGAGUAUUUCUUCCCAAGACAAAAUUUUCCUGAAACAAACAACAAAAUCAUGUUGACUUAGAUUGUCUAUAGUUUUGUUGUCAUAGACAGUCU